rnacentral:tRNA from 1 species
AGGGCAGUAGCUCAGUUGGUAGAGCAUCGGUCUCCAAAACCGAAGGCCGCAGGUUCGACCCCUGUCUGCCCUGCCA